rnacentral:rRNA from 1 species
CCUACGGGAGGCAGCAGUGAGGAAUAUUGGUCAAUGGACGGGAGUCUGAACCAGCCAAGUAGCGUGAAGGAUGACUGCCCUAUGGGUUGUAAACUUCUUUUAUAUGGGAAUAAAAUGUUCCACGUGUGGGAUUUUGUAUGUACCAUAUGAAUAAGGAUCGGCUAACUCCGUGCCAGCAGCCGCGGUAAUACGGAGGAUCCGAGCGUUAUCCGGAUUUAUUGGGUUUAAAGGGAGCGUAGGUGGAUUGUUAAGUCAGUUGUGAAAGUUUGCGGCUCAACCGUAAAAUUGCAGUUGAAACUGGCAGUCUUGAGUACAGUAGAGGUGGGCGGAAUGCGUGGUGUAGCGGUGAAAUGCUUAGAUAUCACGAAGAACUCCGAUUGCGAAGGCAGUUCACUGGACUGCAACUGACACUGAGGCUCGAAAGUGUGGGUAUCAAACAGGAUUAGAUACCCCAGUAGUC